rnacentral:rRNA from 1 species
UACGUAGGGGGCAAGCGUUGUCCGGAUUUAUUGGGCGUAAAGAGCGUGUAGGCGGCCAUGUAGGUCCGUUGUGAAAACUCGAGGCUCAACCUCGAGACGCCGAUGGAACCAUGUGGCUAGAGUCCGGAAGAGGAGAGUGGAAUUCCUGGUGUAGCGGUGAAAUGCGCAGAUAUCAGGAAGAACACCCGUGGCUAAGGCGGCUCUCUAGUACGGUACUGACGCUGAGACGCGAAAGCGUGGGGAGCGAACAGG